CCUGUACAGAUUUCGUUUCCUCUCCUCUGCUCAAGGGCCUGCAUCCUGUUCAGAAUCACUGAUUUUAAUUAGAUGCAACACUGCUGAAUAGCAGACUGGAGAUUAGAGAAAAAUAAUGAGGGUGCCUUGGCUGAUAUAUUCUUACAAAGCAAUAAUCUUAUAGCUCAAAGAAUACCAUCUUUUGGGCUCAAUUGAUGCAAACUCAUAGCUCAUGCCUCUAGAUCACAGGUAUGGAGACCAAGGUUAUGUAUCUUGUGUUAAUGCAUUACAAGACUUGUCACAUGCAAAUCUGGCACACUGCACAACGUAUUAGAAAAAGGAAGUUUAUUAGAGGGUAAAGAAGGAAAGUUCUAUAAGAGGAGAUAGUAUAGCCUUUUAAAGAGAAAACUUAAAUUUCUCUUAUUUAGUUUGCAGACGGAGAUCAUUGAGCAAGUGGAUUUUCACUCGAGCAGUUCUUCCAUCUGUGUUUGGUGCAUAGUUUGAUAACUAAUAAAAGUUUUGCUUGCUCAAAUUCUCUAAACAUACCUUUAUAUACCCUCUUAAUACUAUGUAUGUCUCAUACUGUUAUUCAGUAGUG